GCUCAUCAAUAGUUCUUUUUACAAGUGAUACAUCACAGCACUAGGAAACUCUGUAAGAUGUAUACAGAGAGAGAGAGAGAGAGAGAGAGAGAGAGAGAGAGAGAGAGAGAGAGAGAGAGAGAGAGAGAGAGAGAGAGAGAGAGAGAGAGAGAGAGAGAGAGAGAGAGAGAGAGAGAGAGAGA